GAUGAACGCUGGCGGCGUGCUUAACACAUGCAAGUCGAACGGAAAGGCUCCUGCUUGCAGGGGUACUCGAGUGGCGAACGGGUGAGUAACACGUGGGUGAUCUGCCCUUCACUUCGGGAUAAGCCUGGGAAACUGGGUCUAAUACCGGAUAGGACGAUGUUUUGGAUGCCAUUGUGGAAAGUUUUUUCGGUGUGGGAUGAGCUCGCGGCCUAUCAGCUUGUUGGUGGGGUAAUGGCCUACCAAGGCGUCGACGGGUAGCCGGCCUGAGAGGGUGUACGGCCACAUUGGGACUGAGAUACGGCCCAGACUCCUACGGGAGGCAGCAGUGGGGAAUAUUGCACAAUGGGCGCAAGCCUGAUGCAGCGACGCCGCGUGGGGGAUGACGGCCUUCGGGUUGUAAACUCCUUUCGCUAGGGACGAAGCGCGAGUGACGGUAACUGGAGAAGAAGCACCGGCUAACUACGUG
rnacentral:rRNA from 1 species